GACGAACGCUGGCGGCGUGCCUAAUACAUGCAAGUCGAACGCACAGACUAUACCGUUGCUUCCUUCACCUUAGCCGGUGAGUUGCGAGCAGCACGGUAAUACCCUGCUUACCUGCCUGGGAGAGGGUCAGAACUAUUGAGCUCGUUAGCUAAUAUAUCUUAAUCUUCAUUAUUCCAUGAUAAUUAACUGAAAUGUGCAAUCUCACCAAUACCAGAUGGACCUGCGUUGUAUUAGCUAGUAGGUGAGGUAACGGAUCACCUAGGCGACGACACAUAGCCGACCUGAGAGGGGGAUCGGCCACACUGGGACUGAGACACGGCCCCGAAUCCUACGGGGGGGAGCAGUAGGGAAACUUCGGCAAUGGACGAAAGUCUGACCGGGCAAAGCCGCGGGAGGGAAGAAGGUUUUCGGAUCGUAAAGCUCUGUUGUAAGAGAAAAACGGGUGUGAGAGUGGAAAGUUCACACUGUGACGGUAUCUUACCAGAAAGGGACGGCUAACUACGUG
rnacentral:rRNA from 1 species